CGGAAAUGAUAAUCUAUGCGGAAGCGACAAAUGUUACACCCCUUGGUUGGUCUCAGUGUGAAGGCUGUUGUGGACAGACCGUUUGCAGAUACUUACGAAAUUAGUCUGCUGGACAACGGGGAAGUACGACCCUUACCGCCACCGUUCACCUUUGUGCCUCUGACGUCACCGAUAAACCGCGUCACCCCAACACGAGCGGAUCAGUGGGGUCGUUCAGCGAUGACCUCCUGAUGAAAGACGAGCUGGCGCCGGGUCGGGUCACGGAUCUCAAGGUCAUGAAGACGCAGGAUGAUGACAACACUGUGGUCCUGGCGUGGACGGCCCCGGCGAAGACUUUGACCACAACACUGCGUCCAGAUACGAAAUAAAGAUGGCGUCAACCGCUGCGGACCUGUUGGGAAAAAUCACCACCUCGCGCUACAUUACCCAGGAUGGCGUACACGCGGACCUUUUGGGAAAACUCACCACCUCGCGCUACAUUACCCAGGAUGGCGUCACACGCGGACCUGUUGAGAAAACUCACCACCUCGCGGUAAAUUACCCAGGAUGGCGUCACACGCUUCAUCCCGCACUACGUCGACCCAGAAUUCUUAGAAAUUGUCCAACUUCCGGUAACAACGGAAGUGACCGUGUCGGGCAGACAAAAGGUCAUUAUUGCGGAAGUGGUGGGGUUGUUUACAGGACUGCUCGUGAUUGUGAUAGUUAUCUCCCUUGUUCUACACGUGUGUUCUCGCAAAUCAAGGCCAUGCAAAGUGACAAGAAACACCUUAGUUUCACGGUGUAAUUACUGUUUAAUUAACGUAGCAGAUACAUUGGAAUGAACAAUCUAUAUAGAAACCUUAUAGAGCAAUACGGUUUAUAUAACAUAUACUCAAUAACGAAAGGUUAAAAAUAUCUUUUAUGACGUCUAAAUUUAUCAUGGUUGAAUAAACGUAAAAGAAAACCAGGUCCUCUUGUUGUGUUAAGCCACAGGUUGAUGAGUUUAU